GACGAACGCUGGCGGCGUGCUUAACACAUGCAAGUCGAACGGAAAGGCCCUGCUUUUGUGGGGUGCUCGAGUGGCGAACGGGUGAGUAACACGUGAGUAACCUGCCCUUGACUUUGGGAUAACUUCAGGAAACUGGGGCUAAUACCGGAUAGGAGCUCCUGCUGCAUGGUGGGGGUUGGAAAGUUUCGGCGGUUGGGGAUGGACUCGCGGCUUAUCAGCUUGUUGGUGGGGUAGUGGCUUACCAAGGCUUUGACGGGUAGCCGGCCUGAGAGGGUGACCGGCCACAUUGGGACUGAGAUACGGCCCAGACUCCUACGGGAGGCAGCAGUGGGGAAUAUUGCACAAUGGGCGGAAGCCUGAGGCAGCAACGCCGCGUGCGGAAUGACGGCCUUCGGGUUGUAAACCGCUUUCGCCUGUGACGAAGCGUGAGUGACGGUAAUGGGUAAAGAAGCACCGGCUAACUACGUG
rnacentral:rRNA from 1 species